GACGAACGCUGGCGGCGUGCUUAACACAUGCAAGUCGAACGGUGAUGCUCCAGCUUGCUGGAGUGGAUCAGUGGCGAACGGGUGAGUAACACGUGAGCAACCUGCCCCAGACUCUGGAAUAAGCGCUGGAAACGGCGUCUAAUACCGGAUACGAAACUGGCCCGCAUGGGCAUGGUUUGGAAAGUUUUUCGGUUUGGGAUGGGCUCGCGGCCUAUCAGCUUGUUGGUGAGGUAAUGGCUCACCAAGGCGACGACGGGUAGCCGGCCUGAGAGGGCGACCGGCCACACUGGGACUGAGACACGGCCCAGACUCCUACGGGAGGCAGCAGUGGGGAAUAUUGCACAAUGGGCGAAAGCCUGAUGCAGCGACGCCGCGUGAGGGAUGACGGCCUUCGGGUUGUAAACCUCUUUCAGCAGGGAAGAAGCGAAAGUGACGGUACCUGCAGAAGAAGCACCGGCUAACUACGUG
rnacentral:rRNA from 1 species